rnacentral:rRNA from 1 species
CCUACGGGGGGCAGCAGUGAGGAAUAUUGGUCAAUGGACGAGAGUCUGAACCAGCCAAGUAGCGUGAAGGAUGACUGCCCUAUGGGUUGUAAACUUCUUUUAUAUGGGAAUAAAAUGUUCCACGUGUGGGAUUUUGUAUGUACCAUAUGAAUAAGGAUCGGCUAACUCCGUGCCAGCAGCCGCGGUAAUACGGAGGAUCCGAGCGUUAUCCGGAUUUAUUGGGUUUAAAGGGAGCGUAGGUGGAUGGUUAAGUCAGUUGUGAAAGUUUGCGGCUCAACCGUAAAAUUGCAGUUGAAACUGGCAGUCUUGAGUACAGGAGAGGUUGGCGGAAUGCGUGGUGUAGCGGUGAAAUGCUUAGAUAUCACGAAGAACUCCGAUUGCGAAGGCAGUUCACUGGACUGCAACUGACACUGAGGCUCGAAAGUGUGGGUAUCAAACAGGAUUAGAUACCCGAGUAGUC